rnacentral:rRNA from 1 species
CCUACGGGAGGCAGCAGUGGGGAAUAUUGGACAAUGGGCGAAAGCCUGAUCCAGCCAUGCCGCGUGUGUGAAGAAGGCCUUCGGGUUGUAAAGCACUUUCAGUGGGGAAGAAAGCCUUGGGGCUAAUACCCUCGAGGAAGGACAUCACCCACAGAAGAAGCACCGGCUAACUCCGUGCCAGCAGCCGCGGUAAUACGGAGGGUGCGAGCGUUAAUCGGAAUUACUGGGCGUAAAGCGAGCGUAGGCGGUCUGAUAAGCCGGUUGUGAAAGCCCCGGGCUCAACCUGGGAACGGCAUCCGGAACUGUCAGGCUAGAGUGCAGGAGAGGAAGGUAGAAUUCCCGGUGUAGCGGUGAAAUGCGUAGAGAUCGGGAGGAAUACCAGUGGCGAAGGCGGCCUUCUGGACUGACACUGACGCUGAGGUGCGAAAGCGUGGGUAGCAAACAGGAUUAGAUACCCUAGUAGUC